GAGAGAGAGAGAGAGAGGGGGAGAUUUCUCUUGAGACUCAAGAAAGAAGGACAAAUUGCACUUUCCAUUAAAAAUAAAAAAAACGCACCAAUCAACCAAUCAAUCAAAAACUCUAUAAAUUGAAGCUGCCAAUAAAUAAUGUUGGCUCUUUCUCUCGAGUUAAUUAUGUGUUGCGUGCUUUCUUUUGCUUAUGCAAUUUAUUUGCAGUGAUAGGAAUGGGCAAUGCUAGUGGCAAAAGUGAUGAAGAAGGCACUUCAGGAGAGGGUUAUGAGGAGGAGGCUAUAGAGUGUGCCGCACAUGGUAGGGCUUCACACGUUGGCUAUCAUGUUUCGGGGCUGGAUGCAGAGGCAGAGCCCAUGGCGCAC
rnacentral:misc_RNA from 1 species